CCUACGGGAGGCAGCAGUGGGGAAUAUUGGGCAAUGGGCGCAAGCCUGACCCAGCAACGCCGCGUGCAGGAAGAAGGCUCUCGGGUUUUAAACCUCUUUUUUCAGGGACGAAGCAACUGACGGUACCUUCGGAUUAAGCCACGGCUACCUACGUGCCAGCAGCCGCGGUAUUACGUAGGUUGCAAUCGUUAUCCGGAUUUACUGGGUGUAAAGGUCGUGUAGGCGGGACUGUAAGUCAGAGGUGAAAACCCGGGGCUCAACCUCUGCACUGCCGUUGAUACUGUAGUUCUAGAGUACAGGAGAGGUAGGCGGAAUGUCUAGUGUAGCGGUGAAAUGCAUAGAUAUUAGGAAGAACACCGAUGGCGAAGGCAGUUUACUAGACAACAACUGACGCUGAGGCACGAAAGCGUGGGGAGCAAACAGGAUUAGAUACCCGAGUAGUC
rnacentral:rRNA from 1 species